rnacentral:rRNA from 1 species
UACGGAGGAUGCAAGCGUUAUCCGGAUUUAUUGGGUUUAAAAGGGUGCGCAGGUUGUUUGAUAAGUCAGUGGUGAAAGUCUGUCGCUUAACGGUAGGAUUGCCAUUGAUACUGUUGGACUUGAAUAUGGAUGAGGUAGGCGGAAUGUGUAGUGUAGCGGUGAAAUGCAUAGAUAUUACACAGAACACCGAUUGCGAAGGCAGCUUACUAAUCCAUCAUUGACGCUGAGGCACGAAAGCGUGGGGAUCAAACAGGA